rnacentral:rRNA from 1 species
AUGUCAGGACAUGAGACUGAUCACUUCAUUAUAGAGUUCGUUCAUGGUGGAUUUUUCAUGGGGACCGGAGGAAAUAGAUCAUAUGUUAAUGGCAGAAAAGUUUGCUAUGAUUACUGCGAAGCUAACAUAAUAUGCAUGGCCAUGUUUGAUGAUUUAAUUGAGACACUGGGUUAUGAAAGAAAGGGAAGAAUUAGCACAUACUUAUUGCUGCCGGGUAUGCAAAUCAAUGAAGAUGGUCUUCGGUUGUUAUCAAAGGACAGCGACACAGCGUGCAUCAAGGCAAUGGUUAGAGAGGGACACAGAUUUCUCAUGUUUUAUCUUGGGCAUGAGAAUAACAUUACCGCAGAAACAUGGCAUAAUGUUACUGCAAACCCCACCACUCAAUUGCCUGAUGUUAUCAAUCCUACGGAGUGCAGUAGAGACCAGGAGCAUGAGAGUGUUUUGGACCACUACCUAGUUGAAGCUAUGUUUAUUUUGUCACAUGUGCUCAUGACCAUGAACUGA